ACGAAUUAAGUACUUAACAUGAGGUACCACUGUAUAAUAGUGCUUUCAAAGUACAGUGGUACCUUGGGUUAAGAACUUAAUUCGU